rnacentral:rRNA from 1 species
UAAGGCCGAUGGCGACCGGCGCACGGGUGAGUAACACGUAUCCAACCUGCCGUCUACUCUUGGACAGCCUUCUGAAAGGAAGAUUAAUACAAGAUGGCAUCAUGAGUCCGCAUGUUCACAUGAUUAAAGGUAUUCCGGUAGACGAUGGGGAUGCGUUCCAUUAGAUAGUAGGCGGGGUAACGGCCCACCUAGUCUUCGAUGGAUAGGGGUUCUGAGAGGAAGGUCCCCCACAUUGGAACUGAGACACGGUCCAAACUCCUACGGGAGGCAGCAGUGAGGAAUAUUGGUCAAUGGGCGAGAGCCUGAACCAGCCAAGUAGCGUGAAGGAUGACUGCCCUAUGGGUUGUAAACUUCUUUUAUAAAGGAAUAAAGUCGGGUAUGGAUACCCGUUUGCAUGUACUUUAUGAAUAAGGAUCGGCUAACUCCGUGCCAGCAGCCGCGGUAAUACGGAGGAUCCGAGCGUUAUCCGGAUUUAUUGGGUUUAAAGGGAGCGUAGAUGGAUGUUUAAGUCAGUUGUGAAAGUUUGCGGCUCAACCGUAAAAUUGCAGUUGAUACUGGAUAUCUUGAGUGCAGUUGAGGCAGGCGGAAUUCGUGGUGUAGCGGUGAAAUGCUUAGAUAUCACGAAGAACUCCGAUUGCGAAGGCAGCCUGCUAAGCUGCAACUGACAUUGAGGCUCGAAAGUGUGGGUAUCAAACAGGAUUAGAUACCCUGGUAGUCCACACGGUAAACGAUGAAUACUCGCUGUUUGCGAUAUACUGCAAGCGGCCAAGCGAAAGCGUUAAGUAUUCCACCUGGGGAGUACGCCGGCAACGGUGAAACUCAAAGGAAUUGACGGGGGCCCGCACAAGCGGAGGAACAUGUGGUUUAAUUCGAUGAUACGCGAGGAACCUUACCCGGGCUUAAAUUGCAGAUGAAUUACGGUGAAAGCCGUAAGCCGCAAGGCAUCUGUGAAGGUGCUGCAUGGUUGUCGUCAGCUCGUGCCGUGAGGUGUCGGCUUAAGUGCCAUAACGAGCGCAACCCUUGUUGUCAGUUACUAACAGGUUCCGCUGAGGACUCUGACAAGACUGCCAUCGUAAGAUGUGAGGAAGGUGGGGAUGACGUCAAAUCAGCACGGCCCUUACGUCCGGGGCUACACACGUGUUACAAUGGGGGGUACAGAGGGCCGCUACCACGCGAGUGGAUGCCAAUCCCCAAAACCUCUCUCAGUUCGGACUGGAGUCUGCAACCCGACUCCACGAAGCUGGAUUCGCUAGUAAUCGCGCAUCAGCCACGGCGCGGUGAAUACGUUCCCGGGCCUUGUACACACCGCCCGUCAAGCCAUGAAAGCCGGGGGUACCUGAAGUACGUAACCGCAAGGAGCGUCCUAGGGUAAAACUGGUAAUUGGGGCUAAGUC